rnacentral:rRNA from 1 species
GUUGACCUCGGAUCAGGUAGGGAUACCCGCUGAACUUAAGCAUAUCAAUAAGCGGAGGAAGGGGAAAAAAGG